rnacentral:rRNA from 1 species
CCUACGGGUGGCAGCAGUGGGGAAUAUUGGACAAUGGGGGCAACCCUGAUCCAGCCAUGCCGCGUGUGUGAAGAAGGCCCUCGGGUUGUAAAGCACUUUCAGUGAGGAAGAACGCCUGGUGGUUAAUACCCAUCAGGAAAGACAUCACUCACAGAAGAAGCACCGGCUAACUCCGUGCCAGCAGCCGCGGUAAUACGGAGGGUGCGAGCGUUAAUCGGAAUUACUGGGUGUAAAGCGCGCGUAGGUGGCUUGAUAAGCCGGUUGUGAAAGCCCCGGGCUCAACCUGGGAACGGCAUCCGGAACUGUCAAGCUAGAGUGCAGGAGAGGAAGGUAGAAUUCCCGGUGUAGCGGUGAAAUGCGUAGAGAUCGGGAGGAAUACCAGUGGCGAAGGCGGCCUUCUGGACUGACACUGACACUGAGGUGCGAAAGCGUGGGUAGCAAACAGGAUUAGAUACCCUGGUAGUC